rnacentral:ncRNA from 1 species
CCUUUGAAAAGCUGACAGGGGCCCUGGAAUUUUUGGUGUUACAUCGUUAAGAAAUGUAGCGUAUAGGUGCGGCUUUCAGUUUGUGCUGCAUGUCCAAAGUCCGUUUGAUAAUGGCCACAUUCCUGAGAGGAUGCGAGACCUGUGCGGGCAGUGGAGCAAGCUGUACGAUCAUACCUUCGAGUCGGUUGCUUGAAAGUGCAGCCUAAAGUGGGUGAUAAACUUCACCUAAGGCUAAAUAUGGAGUCGAAUUCGAUAGCAAAGAAGUACUGUGAAGGAAAGUUGCAGAGAACUUUGAAGAGAGAGUUCAAGAGAACGUGAAAUUGCUGAAGUGGAACCGGAGAGAGUUGACAUAGCCGGGUGAUUAAGUCAACUAAUGUCGCUUAAUUGUGACUGCGGGGAUGUAUGCUGCCUAUGGCUGCGCUGACAGCGCUGGUCGUGCGUUCCGAACCGUUUAAGGUUGCUCAUCAUUUCGGCGGUGGUGUCUUGCUGGCGCAUAGGUUUGACUCGGCUAGCGUUUUUGCCCUACUUCAUUUUAGGAUGUCAGUGUGAAAGUCGACCACCUCUCCGACCCCUCUUGAAACACAGACCGAGGAGUGUAACUUGUACUCGAGUCAAGGGGUGGAAAACCUCAAGGCGUAAUGAAAGUAAAGGUCGGUUAACGGGCUGACAUGGGAUCCGCUUCGUUUUCGAAGCGGCGCACCAUGGCCCUGUCUUGUCUGCUUGCAAUUGGGCAGCGGUAGAGCGUACAGGUUGGGAUCCAAAAGAUGGUGAACUAUGCCUGAGAGGACGAAGGCAGAGAAAGCUCAGGCGAAAGUCCGUACCGGUUCUGACAUGCAAAUCGAUCGAUAGACUUGGGCAUAGGACCGAAAGACUAAUCGAACCAUCUAAUAGCUGGUUCCCUCCGAAGUUUCUCCCAGGAUAGCUGGAGCUCAUAGCAGUUAUAUCCGGUCAAGCAAACGAUUAGAGGACUUGGGGUCGAAACGAUCUCAACCUUCUCAAACUUUCAAACUUUGGAAAUGUUGUCUCGGUUUCUUCGUUGAAAUGUUGACACUAACGCGAGCUCCAAGUGGGCGAUUUUUGGUAGGCACAACUGGCGCUGUGGGGUGAACCAAACGUUGAGUUAAGGUGCCUAGCCUUUCGCUCAUGAGAUCCAUAAAAGGCGUUGGUUGAUAUAGACAGCAGGACGGUGGCCAUGGAAGUCGGCACCCGCUAUGGAGUAACAACUCACCUGCCGAAUCAACUAGCCUUGAAAAUGGAUGGCGUUUGAGCGAGAGACCUAUACCCAACCGUUGCUGGCUUGUGCGUUGUCUAGCCCUUGGCGGCAACGAGUAGGAGGGUCGUGUCGGUUGCGUCGAAGGCUUUGGGUGUAGGCCCAGCUGGAGCUUCCGUCAGUGCAGAUCUCUGGGUGGUGGCAAAUAUUUAAGUUAGAUCUUUUCGAUCCUUGAAAACUGAGGUGAAGAAGGAUUCCUCGUGAACUGAAGUUGGAUUUGGGUCAGUCGAUCCUAAGAUGCUGGCUUAUGCUUUGUAUCAUCGAGGGGGAAAGUCUCUUUUCUUUCGGUUAUCAAAAGGGAGUAGGGUUAAUAUUCCCUAACGCAGACACAGAGAUUGUGGCUGGUUGUGUCACUUGCACGGUAACGCAUUCGGAGUUGGUUACGUCACUCAGAGACCGAGCUAGAGUUCUUUUCUCUAGUUAAGGAGCGGACUCCCCUCAGACACUGGGUGAGUUCACCUGCUGGUGAAGAAUGGGUGAACUAACAAUGUAAUUGUAGGUGACCUCAUUUCUACCUACAAGUGAGCGGUCGAAGACCUACAGAUGACCGGUAUCUAGGC